rnacentral:tmRNA from 1 species
GGGACCGCAAAGGUUUCGACGCACUGGUAGAAGUUUCUUCGUGAUGCAGGUCGAGAGGGAGUCAUCUCUCGCUAAUCAAGGGCUCAAAACAAGUAAAUGCGAACAACAUCGUACCCUUGCUCGUAAAGCAGCUCUCGUAACUGCCUAAGAACGAAAAACCGUUUCGAGCCUCGCUAAAGGACUCCGUUAACUUUAUCGAGCAACCCCCAACGGAUGCCCUUGUUGGCUGUCUUCAGUCAGGCGCCAAGGUAAGACAAUACUGAAGUCUCUUGCAAGCAGAGUAAUGCUUGUCCCUCGCUGCAAAGGGCUGAAAGGAAAGAGCGGCUAAACCUGUGAAAGAGCGGAAAAUGGAAACGAUUGCGGACGGCAGUUCGAUUCUGCCCGGUUCCAUAU